GACGAACGCUGGCGGCGUGCUUAACACAUGCAAGUCGAACGGAAAGGUCAUGCUCUUGUGGGUUGCUCGAGUGGCGAACGGGUGAGAAACACGUGUGUAACCUGCCCUUGACUUUGGGAUAACUUCAGGAAACUGGGGCUAAUAUCGGAUAGGAGCUCUUGCUGCACGGUGGGGGUUGGAAAGUUUCGGCGGUUGGGGAUGGACUCGCGGCUUAUCAGCUUGUUGGUGGGGUAGUGGCUUACCAAGGCUUUGACGGGUAGCCGGCCUGAGAGGGUGACCGGCCACAUUGGGACUGAGAUACGGCCCAGACUCCUACGGGAGGCAACAGUGGGGAAUAUGACACAAUGGGCGGAAGCCUGAUGCAGCAACGCCGCGUGCGGGAUGACGGCCUUCGGGUUGUAAACCGCUUUCGCCUGUGACGAAGCGUGAGUGACGGUAAUGGGUAAAGAAGCACCGGCUAACUACGUG
rnacentral:rRNA from 1 species